rnacentral:rRNA from 1 species
AGAGUUUGAUCCUGGCUCAGGAUGAACGCUGGCGGCGUGCUUAACACAUGCAAGUCGAACGAAGCACUUUAUUUGAUUUCCUUCGGGACUGAUUAUUUUGUGACUGAGUGGCGGACGGGUGAGUAACGCGUGGGUAACCUGCCUUGUACAGGGGGAUAACAGUUGGAAACGGCUGCUAAUACCGCAUAAGCGCACGGCAUCGCAUGAUGCAGUGUGAAAAACUCCGGUGGUAUAAGAUGGACCCGCGUUGGAUUAGCUAGUUGGUGAGGUAACGGCCCACCAAGGCGACGAUCCAUAGCCGACCUGAGAGGGUGACCGGCCACAUUGGGACUGAGACACGGCCCAAACUCCUACGGGAGGCAGCAGUGGGGAAUAUUGCACAAUGGGCGAAAGCCUGAUGCAGCGACGCCGCGUGAGCGAAGAAGUAUUUCGGUAUGUAAAGCUCUAUCAGCAGGGAAGAUAAUGACGGUACCUGACUAAGAAGCACCGGCUAAAUACGUGCCAGCAGCCGCGGUAAUACGUAUGGUGCAAGCGUUAUCCGGAUUUACUGGGUGUAAAGGGAGCGCAGGCGGUGCGGCAAGUCUGAUGUGAAAGCCCGGGGCUCAACCCCGGUACUGCAUUGGAAACUGUCGUACUAGAGUGUCGGAGGGGUAAGCGGAAU